CCCCACACAAGAGAUCGACGGCCUUAAAGUUACACUGGAAUAAACAGAGGAUGGACCAUUACGUUGUUUUUAGGAAAACUAAGAGAGUGACACUCCGGGACGAAGACAUGACUGCAGAAAAACUGGGUCGCAUCUUUCAGGUAUCCGCGCAUACUCUGUACAUCACGGAUGAUUCAAA